rnacentral:SRP_RNA from 1 species
GCUGGCAUGGUGGUGCAUGCCUGUAGUCCCAGCUACUCAGGAGGCUGAGGCAGGAGGAUCACUUGAGCCCAGGAGGUCAGGGCUGCAGUGAACUAUGAUGGCACCACUGCACUCUAGCCUGGGCAACAGAGUGAGACCCUAUCUCAA